UACAGAGGUCCCAAGCGUUGUUCGGAUUUACUGGGCGUAAAGGGCGCGUAGGCGGCCUGUUAAGUCGAACGUGAAAUCCCCGGGCUCAACCCGGGAACUGCGUCCGAUACUGGCAGGCUUGAAUUCGGGAGAGGGAUGCGGAAUUCCAGGUGUAGCGGUGAAGUGCGUAGAUAUCUGGAGGAACACCCGUGGCGAAGGCGGUUCUCUGGGACGGUACUGACGCUGAGACGCGAAAGCGUGGGGAGCGAACAGG
rnacentral:rRNA from 1 species